GGUUACAUUUUUCAUAACCAAAUCUCUUCUCUCUUUGUGCAUAAAUCCAUAGCAUGAAUCUGGAGAUGCUCGUUUCUUGGUGCAUGAAUCCAACAAGAGAAGGACAAGAGUAUGCAACAGCUUUGUUCUAGCCUCACAAUAACCCUAUCAAAGACUUCUGCAAGUAAUUCGCGUAUUUUUAUUUGGAAAGAGCAUGGAUCCAAAGGCUGUCAGCAUUCACGGGUCACAUUUCCUCAACUAUGCUGGCAGCAUACAGAUAAAACAGAAUUGUCAUAAUCAACUAGAGUCGUGAUGCUUUCAUCUUCCAAAUCUCUUUUAAAAGCACACCAUAUGCAAGUCCUGGUCUUGCUUGAUUUGACUGUUCCAGAUCUAAUACAAAUUAUCAACACAGACACGUUUCGUACAAAUCAUUCGAGAUACACAGUAGGACUCUAACAUUGACGCCGUCGACCAGCAAUCAACAACCAGCUGUCAUGUGAUGGCUGUACCCUAUCCUGGUAGAGGCCACGUCAACCCCAUGAUGAAUCUCUGCAAGUUAUUUACUGUCUUCAAAGAAACGGGAUAUUCUCCUAACUUUUUUUUUGUUACUGGAGAGUGGCUUGGACUCAUUGACUCUAAUACUAAAAAUAGCACCAUACAAUUUGCCUCGAUACCGAAUGUUAUCCCAUCUGAACUAGUCCGAGGAGCGGAUUCUACGAGGCUGUGAUGACGAAGAUGGAAGGUCCGUUGGAACAGCUACCUGAUCAAAUUGACCUGCUAGUGACUGCUAUCAUAGCUGAAUAGCUGAUGCUAAGCUACCGUGGGCAAACACCAUUGCAAACAAGAGGAAUAUCCCGGUGGCAACACCAUGCACGGUGUCAGCAACUGUAUUUUCAAUGCUCCAACAGUUUGCUUGCAUAAAAAACCUGCCGACACUAGCCAAAUUGUUAGGGAAUUUCUUCAAAGUAUGUAGCUGACCUUCGAACAAUCUUCCGUGGACACGAGGCAAGAGUUAUAUAUGCAGCUCACGUUGGAAAGCAUUUCAUGGGUGUCAAGAGAUGUCAUCCCAAGCAUCAACUUCAACUUUAAUGGCUUUGUAAAAAUAUAUGCAACUUGAUCAUUUGUUUUGUAAGAUAUCAGUUCAACCUUUUUGUUCUCCACAUGCUCUCAGAUAAAAUGAUAACGUGUAUCGAUGUGUUUACUUCUUUCAUGAUA